UACGUAGGUCCCGAGCGUUGUCCGGAUUUAUUGGGCGUAAAGCGAGCGCAGGUGGUUUAUUAAGUCUGGUGUAAAAGGCAGUGGCUUAACCAUUGUAUGCAUUGGAAACUGGUAGACUUGAGUGCAGGAGAGGAGAGUGGAAUUCCAUGUGUAGCGGUGAAAUGCGUAGAUAUAUGGAGGAACACCGGUGGCGAAAGCGGCUCUCUGGCCUGUAACUGACACUGAGGCUCGAAAGCGUGGGGAGCAAACAGG
rnacentral:rRNA from 1 species